AUUGAACGCUGGCGGCAGGUCUAACACAUGCAAGUCGGACGAGCGGCGGACGGGUGAGUAAUGUCUGGGGAUCUGCCCGAUGGCGGGGGAUAACUACUGGAAACGGUAGCUAAUACCGCAUACCAUCAGAUGAACCCAGAUGGGAUUAGCUGGUAGGUGGGGUAACGGCUCACCUAGGCGACGAUCCCUAGCUGGUCUGAGAGGAUGACCAGCCACACUGGGACUGAGACACGGUCCAGACUCCUACGGGAGGCAGCAGUGGGGAAUAUUGCACAAUGGGCGCAAGCCUGAUGCAGCCAUGCCGCGUGUAUGAAGAAGGCCUUCGGGUUGUAAAGUACUUUCAGCGGGGAGGCGUUACCGGCAGAAGAAGCACCGGCUAACUCCGUGCCAGCAGCCGCGGUAAUUC
rnacentral:rRNA from 1 species